GCAAACUUGGUCAUUUAGAGGAAGUAAAAGUCGUAACAAGGUUUCCGUAGGUGAACCUGCGGAAGGAUCAUUACAGUAUUCUUUUGCCAGCGCUUAAUUGCGCGGCGAAAAACCUUACACACUGUGUUUUUGUUUUACAAAUCAUUGCUUUGGCUUGGCCUUAACUGGUUGGGCCAGAGGUUUACACUAAACUUCAAUAUUUUAUUGAAUUGUUUUUAAUAUAUCAGUCAAUUUGUUGAUUAAAUUCAAAAAUCUUCAAAACUUUCAACAACGGAUCUCUUGGUUCUCGCAUCGAUGAAGAACGCAGC
rnacentral:misc_RNA from 1 species